rnacentral:lncRNA from 1 species
UAGAAUUUUAUUUUUUUUUAAAACCUGACCCCAGGGUAUGCCAGAUCUGCCACAAAUACGGGAAAUCAACUAUUCACACGGACAGAGUUUCCCCUAUAUUUGCACGGCGUCGCGCAAGUACAAGAUGUCCAAACAGAGUAUAACCAGGAUACAACCACAAUAUAUGAAUAGAUAAUUCUCAACAUUCAUUCACCAUUUACCGGAUAUUUACCAUUCAGUGUUUAAACAUAAAAACCACAAGAAAAACUCUUUUGAAAGCUGUUUCCCAUAUGGAAACCUUUUCUUUUUAAAACGCUACUACGAGAGGUAGAAAACUAUUUUUCCUUUUCACAAAAUCUACAAGUUCUAUAGUUCAUUUAAAACCACAUGAAUUCGAAUAACAUAAACCAACUGAACCAUGAAAUAUCAAAGCUAUUAAUAACAAAAGUAAACAGGGUGGGAACUAAACCAACAAGACGGGUCGGAAGCUCUAGCGACCACUACGAACGUAUCUCACGUCUCGUCUCUACUCUCACCGCCUGCGAUACCUGAAAAAU